rnacentral:rRNA from 1 species
UGGGGAAUUUUGGACAAUGGGCGAAAGCCUGAUCCAGCCAUGCCGCGUGAGUGGAGAAGGCCUUCGGGUUGUAAAGCUCUUUUAGUCGGAAAGAAAGAGUUGCAAUGAAUAAUUGUGAUUUAUGACGGUACCGACAGAAAAAGCACCGGCUAACUACGUGCCAGCAGCCGCGGUAAUACGUAGGGUGCGAGCGUUAAUCGGAAUUACUGGGCGUAAAGGGUGCGCAGGCGGUCUUGCAAGUCAGAUGUGAAAGCCCCGGGCUUAACCUGGGAAUCGCGUUUGAAACUACAAGGCUAGAGUGCAGCAGAGGGGAGUGGAAUUCCAUGUGUAGCAGUGAAAUGCGUAGAGAUGUGGAAGAACACCGAUGGCGAAGGCAGCUCCCUGGGUUGACACUGACGCUCAUGCACGAAAGCGUGGGGAGCAAACA